AUCUGUAGUCUUGGAGCCGCACGGGGUUGGUGGUACCCUCGGCACACCAGACUUGCAGAGAA
rnacentral:precursor_RNA from 1 species